rnacentral:rRNA from 1 species
GUCAAAUCAUCAUGCCCCUUAUGUCUUGGGCUUCACGCAUGCUACAAUGGCCGGUACAAAGGGCUGCAAUACCGCAAGGUGGAGCGAAUCCCAAAAAGCCGGUCUCAGUUCGGAUUGAGGUCUGCAACUCGACCUCAUGAAGUCGGAGUCGCUAGUAAUCGCAGAUCAGCAUACCGCGGUGAAUGUCGUUCCUGAGCCUU